GCCAAGUUAGCAUAGCCCGGCCAAUGCGGUCGCCUCGAAAGCGACUGUCCUAAUAAGACACGGGAGUUCAAAUCUCUCACUUGGCG
rnacentral:tRNA from 1 species